GAUGAACGCUGGCGGCGUGCCCAAUACAUGCAAGUCGAGCGAACGGACGAGAAGCUUGCUUCUCUGAUGUUAGCGGCGGACGGGUGAGUAACACGUGGAUAACCUACCUAUAAGACUGGGAUAACUUCGGGAAACCGUAGCUAAUACCGGAUAAUAUUUUGAACCGCAUGGUUCAAAAGUGAAAGACGGCCUUGCUGUCACUUAUAGAUGGAUCCGCGCUGCAUUAGCUAGUUGGUAAGGUAACGGCUUACCAAGGCAACGAUGCAUAGCCGACCUGAGAGGGUGAUCGGCCACACUGGAACUGAGACACGGUCCAGACUCCUACGGGAGGCAGCAGUAGGGAAUCUUCCGCAAUGGGCGAAAGCCUGACGGAGCAACGCCGCGUGAGUGAUGAAGGUCUUCGGAUCGUAAAACUCUGUUAUUAGGGAAGAACAUAUGUGUAAGUAACUGUGCACAUCUUGACGGUACCUAAUCAGAAAGCCACGGCUAACUACGUG
rnacentral:rRNA from 1 species